rnacentral:rRNA from 1 species
UGGGUAACCUGCCUCAAAGAGGGGAAUAGCCUCCCGAAAGGGAGAUUAAUACCGCAUAAUAUGUUUAAGUCGCAUGACUUUAACAUCAAAGGAUUUUCUUUUAGAAAUUCCACUUUGAGAUGGACCCGCGGCGCAUUAGCUAGUUGGUGAGGUAACGGCUCACCAAGGCAACGAUGCGUAGCCGACCUGAGAGGGUNAUCGGCCACAUUGGAACUGAGACACGACCCAGACUCCGUAGGGAGG